UGCAAGGCGUGUAAACCCCAUGCCUUUCAUUUGCUGCAGCAUUCUCAGAUGAAAAUCUCCCAAAAUGCAGCAACCAGCAACAUUGAUUUGGUGAAUCGAUUUUAACAGUAUGAUUGAUUAUCCUGAAGCCUUGUUUUUUAGAAUGGUCGGAAUUGGAAAGAAAAUACACUGGGUGACAAGACUUGGAUCUAUUCCAUCGUCAACAAAAGUGACCUUAGUGACAAUGUCAUAAGCAUUGGUAGGCUCUUGACUCGGGAGAGCCACAGGAACCACGUAGUCUGCCAGCGUCCAUAACAAGCCUUCCUCCAGCGCUUUACACUACUAAACAUGCCUAUUGUUAGUUAAAAUGUAUUACAGAUAUGGAAUUAACCUAAUUGCUUUGAAAGGUGCUAACUUUCUAUCCAUUGAAUAUUGAGACUUACCGAUGGAGUUUAUAUGUAAUAUGCACAUAUUUAAUAUUGUGAUUAUGAUUGGUAGUUUCAAAAGAUUC